GUCAGCUCAAGAUAUUAUUGUUGUCAUUGCUGUGGAUCUUUACCUGAUACACUGACUUGGUGGAAGCCUCCGUUCUCCUCCCUCAUCUUCUCCCUUUUCUGGGCUUGAACCAAACUGUAGACCACAGCUCCCAGUGUGUUCCUAUUGAGGCUGAAGCCCCGCCCCCCGCCACGCUCUAUGAAGCUGGAUCGUUCCUCCCGACUGCUCACGAAGUACGUUCGAACCUGAAGGGAAAACACUUUGAUCAGAGAUCUCAUAGCUUAGAUCUUUUGGUCAUGUGUGUGGUCACAUGAUGAUGAUGGCUCACCUUUCCAUGGCGUUCACUAAUCCCUUUGAGAUAAACGUCCCCUCUGAGCUGCCUCAGAAAGCCUCGUUCAACCAGAAUAGAGCUGGUGAGCUCACCUGUAUCCGCCCGCUCACACCGGUGCUCUCCAUCCUGCUCGCCAUGUUCACCGUCGUCCCCCAGAUGUCGUACUGAGGUUUGGUGGCUCCAAUCACACCUGCUAUCACCGGACCGUGAGCCACACCUGGAAGUGAUGUCAGAGGUCAAAGCUGGAAGCUGUUUCCUGUCUGUGUGUUGAUGUGUUUUAGAGUUUCCUGCAUGGCAAGAGCAAACAGGACCAACUCGCUCAGUGUGAUUUAUGACCUCAUCAAAGUCGCUGAUGAUGUGGUUAAGGAGGCGGAGACACUCAACAUGCUGAUGAAGGACCUCCUUUUCCUCGUAGAAGUCGGAGAAUCCAGGCAGAGAGGCAAACAGCACGCCCACUCGCUCAUACGACUGUGUAGACGGCAGCAAACAGCAGUAGAACGGCCAGCUGCAACACGCAGCUCAGUCUGAGGAACACGGCACAGCCGAGGGAGGCGGAGCCAGCAGGGAGUCCCUGCUGCUGAUGUCAGUUUCUGAUGAAUCACACCACAGCUAGUGGAAGCAAGCAAGAAGAGAACAACAGAACAACAUUUUGAGAAACUUUAGAAAUUCAAGGUGAUUACAAUCAGGAUAGUCUUUUAUACCUAUGGAGAAUCAUCAUCAAAUAGUAAUCCUCACACUGUGUUGUGUCAACAUUGCUUCUUAAAAU